UUAAGCGAACAAGCGUACACGGUGGAUGCCCUGGCAGUCAGAGGCGAUGAAGGACGUGCUAAUCUGCGAAAAGCGCCGGUAAGGUGAUAUGAACCGUUAUAACCGGCGAUGUCCGAAUGGGGAAACCCGGUGCACUUCGGUGCAUCAUCGUUAGCUGAAUACAUAGGCUAACGAGGCGAACCGGGGGAACUGAAACAUCUAAGUACCCCGAGGAAAAGAAAUCAACCGAGAUUCCCCCAGUAGCGGCGAGCGAACGGGGAACAGCCCAGAGCCUGAAUCAGCUUGUGUGUCAGUGGAACGGUCUGGAAAGGCCGGCGAUACAGGGUGACAGCCCCGUACACGAAGGCACACAGGCUGUGAGCUCGAUGAGUAGGGCGGGACACGUGAUAUCCUGUCUGAAGAUGGGGGGACCAUCCUCCAAGGCUAAAUACUCCUGACUGACCGAUAGUGAACCAGUACCGUGAGGGAAAGGCGAAAAGAACCCCGGCGAGGGGAGUGAAACAGAACCUGAAACCGUGUACGUACAAGCAGUGGGAGCCUUCGUAAGAGGGUGACUGCGUACCUUUUGUAUAAUGGGUCAGCGACUUAUAUUCUGUAGCAAGGUUAACCGUAUAGGGGAGCCGAAGGGAAACCGAGUCUUAAUUGGGCGUUAAGUUGCAGGGUAUAGACCCGAAACCCGGUGAUCUAGCCAUGGGCAGGUUGAAGGUUGGGUAACACUAACUGGAGGACCGAACCGACUAAUGUUGAAAAAUUAGCGGAUGACCUGUGGCUGGGGGUGAAAGGCCAAUCAAACCGGGAGAUAGCUGGUUCUCCCCGAAAGCUAUUUAGGUAGCGCCUCGUGAACUCAUCUCCGGGGGUAGAGCACUGUUUCGGCUAGGGGGCCAUCCCGGCUUACCAACCCGAUGCAAACUGCGAAUACCGGAGAAUGUUAUCACGGGAGACACACGGCGGGUGCUAACGUCCGUCGUGAAGAGGGAAACAACCCAGACCGCCAGCUAAGGUCCCAAAGUCAUGGUUAAGUGGGAAACGAUGUGGGAAGGCCCAGACAGCCAGGAUGUUGGCUUAGAAGCAGCCAUCAUUUAAAGAAAGCGUAAUAGCUCACUGGUCGAGUCGGCCUGCGCGGAAGAUGUAACGGGGCUAAACCAUGCACCGAAGCUGCGGCAGCGACGCUUAUGCGUUGUUGGGUAGGGGAGCGUUCUGUAAGCCUGCGAAGGUGUGCUGUGAGGCAUGCUGGAGGUAUCAGAAGUGCGAAUGCUGACAUAAGUAACGAUAAAGCGGGUGAAAAGCCCGCUCGCCGGAAGACCAAGGGUUCCUGUCCAACGUUAAUCGGGGCAGGGUGAGUCGACCCCUAAGGCGAGGCCGAAAGGCGUAGUCGAUGGGAAACAGGUUAAUAUUCCUGUACUUGGUGUUACUGCGAAGGGGGGACGGAGAAGGCUAUGUCGGCCGGGCGACGGUUGUCCCGGUUUAAGCGUGUAGGCUGACUUUCCAGGCAAAUCCGGAAAGUUAAGGCUGAGGCGUGAUGACGAGGCACUACGGUGCUGAAGUGACAAAUGCCCUGCUUCCAGGAAAAGCCUCUAAGCAUCAGGUAACAUCAAAUCGUACCCCAAACCGACACAGGUGGUCAGGUAGAGAAUACCAAGGCGCUUGAGAGAACUCGGGUGAAGGAACUAGGCAAAAUGGUGCCGUAACUUCGGGAGAAGGCACGCUGACAUGUAGGUGAAGCCCCUGCGGGUGGAGCUGAAGUCAGUCGAAGAUACCAGCUGGCUGCAACUGUUUAUUAAAAACACAGCACUGUGCAAACACGAAAGUGGACGUAUACGGUGUGACGCCUGCCCGGUGCCGGAAGGUUAAUUGAUGGGGUUAUCGCAAGAGAAGCUCCUGAUCGAAGCCCCGGUAAACGGCGGCCGUAACUAUAACGGUCCUAAGGUAGCGAAAUUCCUUGUCGGGUAAGUUCCGACCUGCACGAAUGGCGUAAUGAUGGCCAGGCUGUCUCCACCCGAGACUCAGUGAAAUUGAACUCGCUGUGAAGAUGCAGUGUACCCGCGGCAAGACGGAAAGACCCCGUGAACCUUUACUACAGCUUGACACUGAACAUUGAGCCUUGAUGUGUAGGAUAGGUGGGAGGCUUUGAAGCGUGGACGCCAGUCUGCGUGGAGCCGACCUUGAAAUACCACCCUUUAAUGUUUGAUGUUCUAACCUGGCGCCGUGAUCCGGCGUGGGGACAGUGUCUGGUGGGUAGUUUGACUGGGGCGGUCUCCUCCCAAAGUGUAACGGAGGAGCACGAAGGUCAGCUAAUCCUGGUCGGACAUCAGGAGGUUAGUGCAAUGGCAUAAGCUGGCUUGACUGCGAGAGUGACGGCUCGAGCAGGUGCGAAAGCAGGUCAUAGUGAUCCGGUGGUUCUGUAUGGAAGGGCCAUCGCUCAACGGAUAAAAGGUACUCCGGGGAUAACAGGCUGAUACCGCCCAAGAGUUCAUAUCGACGGCGGUGUUUGGCACCUCGAUGUCGGCUCAUCACAUCCUGGGGCUGAAGUAGGUCCCAAGGGUAUGGCUGUUCGCCAUUUAAAGUGGUACGCGAGCUGGGUUUAGAACGUCGUGAGACAGUUCGGUCCCUAUCUGCCGUGGGCGCUGGAGAAUUGAGGGGGGCUGCUCCCAGUACGAGAGGACCGGAGUGGACGCAUCACUGGUGUUCGGGUUGUCAUGCCAAUGGCACUGCCCGGUAGCUAAAUGCGGAAGAGAUAAGUGCUGAAAGCAUCUAAGCACGAAACUUGCCCCGAGAUGAGUUCUCCCUGAGACUAUAAGUCUCCUGAAGGAACGUUGAAGACGACGACGUUGAUAGGCCGGGUGUGUAAGCGCAGCGAUGCGUUGAGCUAACCGGUACUAAUGAACCGUGAGGCUUAACCUU
rnacentral:rRNA from 1 species